UGGGGAAUAUUGCACAAUGGGGGAAACCCUGAUGCAGCAACGCCGCGUGAGGGAAGACGGUUUUCGGAUUGUAAACCUCUGUCUCCGGUGAAGAAACAAAUGACGGUAACCGGGGAGGAAGCCACGGCUAACUACGUGCCAGCAGCCGCGGUAAUACGUAGGUGGCAAGCGUUGUCCGGAAUUACUGGGUGUAAAGGGAGCGUAGGCGGGAUUGCAAGUCAGAUGUGAAAUCUACGGGCUCAACUCGUAGCGUGCAUUUGAAACUGUAGUUCUUGAGUGAAGUAGAGGCAGGCGGAAUUCCGAGUGUAGCGGUGAAAUGCGUAGAUAUUCGGAGGAACACCAGUGGCGAAGGCGGCCUGCUGGGCUUUUACUGACGCUGAGGCUCGAAAGCGUGGGUAGCAAACAGGAUUAGAUACCCGUGUAGUCC
rnacentral:rRNA from 1 species